UCUCCGUUGGUGAACCAGCGGAGGGAUCAUUACUGAGUAUCUUACUCUCUACCCUUUGUGAACCAUUAUACCUGUUGCUUCGGCGGCGCCCCCCCGGGGGUGCCCGCCGGUGAUCAGAAUCUCUGUUUUCGAACCCGACGAUACUUCUGAGUGUUCUUAGCGAACUGUCAAAACUUUUAACAACGGAUCUCUUGGCUCCAGCAUCGAUGAAGAACGCAGC
rnacentral:misc_RNA from 1 species